GGGUUGUGAGGUUAAGCGACUAAGCGUACACGGUGGAUGCCCUGGCAGUCAGAGGCGAUGAAGGACGUGCUAAUCUGCGAUAAGCGUCGGUAAGGUGAUAUGAACCGUUAUAACCGGCGAUUUCCGAAUGGGGAAACCCAGUGUGAUUCGUCACACUAUCAUUAACUGAAUCCAUAGGUUAAUGAGGCGAACCGGGGGAACUGAAACAUCUAAGUACCCCGAGGAAAAGAAAUCAACCGAGAUUCCCCCAGUAGCGGCGAGCGAACGGGGAGCAGCCCAGAGCCUGAAUCAGUGUGUGUGUUAGUGGAAGCGUCUGGAAAGGCGCGCGAUACAGGGUGACAGCCCCGUACACAAAAAUGCACAUACUGUGAGCUCGAUGAGUAGGGCGGGACACGUGGUAUCCUGUCUGAAUAUGGGGGGACCAUCCUCCAAGGCUAAAUACUCCUGACUGACCGAUAGUGAACCAGUACCGUGAGGGAAAGGCGAAAAGAACCCCGGCGAGGGGAGUGAAAAAGAACCUGAAACCGUGUACGUACAAGCAGUGGGAGCACAGAGCAAUCUGUGUGACUGCGUACCUUUUGUAUAAUGGGUCAGCGACUUAUAUUCUGUAGCAAGGUUAACCGAAUAGGGGAGCCGAAGGGAAACCGAGUCUUAACUGGGCGUUAAGUUGCAGGGUAUAGACCCGAAACCCGGUGAUCUAGCCAUGGGCAGGUUGAAGGUUGGGUAACACUAACUGGAGGACCGAACCGACUAAUGUUGAAAAAUUAGCGGAUGACUUGUGGCUGGGGGUGAAAGGCCAAUCAAACCGGGAGAUAGCUGGUUCUCCCCGAAAGCUAUUUAGGUAGCGCCUCGUGAAUUCAUCUCCGGGGGUAGAGCACUGUUUCGGCAAGGGGGUCAUCCCGACUUACCAACCCGAUGCAAACUGCGAAUACCGGAGAAUGUUAUCACGGGAGACACACGGCGGGUGCUAACGUCCGUCGUGAAGAGGGAAACAACCCAGACCGCCAGCUAAGGUCCCAAAGUCAUGGUUAAGUGGGAAACGAUGUGGGAAGGCCCAGACAGCCAGGAUGUUGGCUUAGAAGCAGCCAUCAUUUAAAGAAAGCGUAAUAGCUCACUGGUCGAGUCGGCCUGCGCGGAAGAUGUAACGGGGCUAAACCAUGCACCGAAGCUGCGGCAGCGACGCUGAUGCGUUGUUGGGUAGGGGAGCGUUCUGUAAGCCUGCGAAGGUGUGCUGUGAGGCAUGCUGGAGGUAUCAGAAGUGCGAAUGCUGACAUAAGUAACGAUAAAGCGGGUGAAAAGCCCGCUCGCCGGAAGACCAAGGGUUCCUGUCCAACGUUAAUCGGGGCAGGGUGAGUCGACCCCUAAGGCGAGGCCGAAAGGCGUAGUCGAUGGGAAACAGGUUAAUAUUCCUGUACUUGGUGUUACUGCGAAGGGGGGACGGAGAAGGCUAUGUUGGCCGGGCGACGGUUGUCCCGGUUUAAGCGUGUAGGCUGGUUUUCCAGGCAAAUCCGGAAAAUCAAGGCUGAGGCGUGAUGACGAGGCACUACGGUGCUGAAGCAACAAAUGCCCUGCUUCCAGGAAAAGCCUCUAAGCAUCAGGUAACAUCAAAUCGUACCCCAAACCGACACAGGUGGUCAGGUAGAGAAUACCAAGGCGCUUGAGAGAACUCGGGUGAAGGAACUAGGCAAAAUGGUGCCGUAACUUCGGGAGAAGGCACGCUGAUAUGUAGGUGAAGUCCCUCGCGGAUGGAGCUGAAAUCAGUCGAAGAUACCAGCUGGCUGCAACUGUUUAUUAAAAACACAGCACUGUGCAAACACGAAAGUGGACGUAUACGGUGUGACGCCUGCCCGGUGCCGGAAGGUUAAUUGAUGGGGUCAGCGCAAGCGAAGCUCUUGAUCGAAGCCCCGGUAAACGGCGGCCGUAACUAUAACGGUCCUAAGGUAGCGAAAUUCCUUGUCGGGUAAGUUCCGACCUGCACGAAUGGCGUAAUGAUGGCCAGGCUGUCUCCACCCGAGACUCAGUGAAAUUGAACUCGCUGUGAAGAUGCAGUGUACCCGCGGCAAGACGGAAAGACCCCGUGAACCUUUACUAUAGCUUGACACUGAACAUUGAGCCUUGAUGUGUAGGAUAGGUGGGAGGCUUUGAAGUGUGGACGCCAGUCUGCAUGGAGCCGACCUUGAAAUACCACCCUUUAAUGUUUGAUGUUCUAACGUUGACCCGUAAUCCGGGUUGCGGACAGUGUCUGGUGGGUAGUUUGACUGGGGCGGUCUCCUCCUAAAGAGUAACGGAGGAGCACGAAGGUUGGCUAAUCCUGGUCGGACAUCAGGAGGUUAGUGCAAUGGCAUAAGCCAGCUUGACUGCGAGCGUGACGGCGCGAGCAGGUGCGAAAGCAGGUCAUAGUGAUCCGGUGGUUCUGAAUGGAAGGGCCAUCGCUCAACGGAUAAAAGGUACUCCGGGGAUAACAGGCUGAUACCGCCCAAGAGUUCAUAUCGACGGCGGUGUUUGGCACCUCGAUGUCGGCUCAUCACAUCCUGGGGCUGAAGUAGGUCCCAAGGGUAUGGCUGUUCGCCAUUUAAAGUGGUACGCGAGCUGGGUUUAGAACGUCGUGAGACAGUUCGGUCCCUAUCUGCCGUGGGCGCUGGAGAACUGAGGGGGGCUGCUCCUAGUACGAGAGGACCGGAGUGGACGCAUCACUGGUGUUCGGGUUGUCAUGCCAAUGGCACUGCCCGGUAGCUAAAUGCGGAAGAGAUAAGUGCUGAAAGCAUCUAAGCACGAAACUUGCCCCGAGAUGAGUUCUCCCUGACCCUUUAAGGGUCCUGAAGGAACGUUGAAGACGACGACGUUGAUAGGCCGGGUGUGUAAGCGCAGCGAUGCGUUGAGCUAACCGGUACUAAUGAACCGUGAGGCUUAACCUUACAACGCCGAAGGUGUUU
rnacentral:rRNA from 1 species